rnacentral:rRNA from 1 species
GAUGAACGCUGGCGGCGUGCCUAAUACAUGCAAGUCGAGCGAACAGACGAGGAGCUUGCUCCUCUGACGUUAGCGGCGGACGGGUGAGUAACACGUGGAUAACCUACCUAUAAGACUGGGAUAACUUCGGGAAACCGGAGCUAAUACCGGCUAAUAUAUUGAACCGCAUGGUUCAAUAGUGAAAGACGGUUUUGCUGUCACUUAUAGAUGGAUCCGCGCCGCAUUAGCUAGUUGGUAAGGUAACGGCUUACAAAGGCAACGAUGCGUAGCCGACCUGAGAGGGUGCAGCGCCACACGGGCAGUGAGACGCGGUACAGUCUGAUGCGAGGGAGCAGUGUAGAAUAUUGUCCGAUGGGGGCAAACGCGAGACAGCGCAACCGCGCGUGUGAUGAAGGGCUUCUGGUUGUGAAAAACUCUGUUAUGGGAGGAAAACAAGUGUGUAAAUAACUAUGCGUGUUGAGAGUACACAAAAACAGAACGCCGGGUAGAACCGUG